rnacentral:rRNA from 1 species
CUGCCGCAGUACGAGAAGGUGGAGAAGAUCGGGGAGGGCACGUACGGGGUGGUGUACAAGGCCAAGGACCGCUACACCAACGAGACGAUCGCGCUCAAGAAGAUCCGGCUGGAGCAGGAGGACGAGGGCGUCCCCUCCACCGCCAUCCGCGAGAUCUCCCUCCUCAAGGAGAUGCAGCACCGGAACAUCGUCAGGCUGCAGGACGUGGUGCACAACGAGAAGUGCAUAUACCUCGUCUUCGAGUACCUCGACCUCGACCUCAAGAAGCACAUGGACUCCUCCGCGGACUUCAAGAACCACCACAUAGUCAAGUCCUUCCUCUACCAGAUCCUGCGCGGCAUCGCCUACUGCCACUCGCACCGCGUGCUUCACAGGGAUCUCAAGCCCCAGAACCUGCUGAUUGAUCGCCGCACCAAUUCAUUGAAGCUUGCUGACUUCGGGUUGGCCAGGGCGUUCGGCAUUCCUGUCCGGACAUUUACUCACGAGGUGGUGACAUUAUGGUACAGAGCACCAGAAAUUCUUCUGGGUGCAAGGCAGUAUUCUACCCCUGUUGAUGUGUGGUCGGUUGGUUGCAUUUUCGCCGAAAUGGUGAAUCAGAAACCCCUAUUUCCUGGUGAUUCUGAGAUUGAUGAACUCUUCAAGAUUUUCAGAAUUAUGGGCACUCCUAAUGAAGAAACCUGGCCAGGUGUUUCUUCGUUACCUGACUACAAAUCAGCUUUCCCCAAGUGGCCGUCCGUGUUAGUUGUGUACUGU